rnacentral:rRNA from 1 species
AACGAACGCUGGCGGCAUGCCUAACACAUGCAAGUCGAACGAGACCUUCGGGGCUAGUGGCGCACGGGUGCGUAACGCGUGGGAACCUGCCCUUAGGUUCGGAAUAACUCCCCUAAAGGGGUGCUAAUACCGGAUAAUGUCGUCGGACCAAAGAUUUAUCGCCUUUGGAUGGGCCCGCGUUGGAUUAGCUAGUUGGUAGGGUAAAGGCCUACCAAGGCGACGAUCCAUAGCUGGUCUGAGAGGAUGAUCAGCCACACUGGGACUGAGACACGGCCCAGACUCCUACGGGAGGCAGCAGUGGGGAAUAUUGGACAAUGGGCGAAAGCCUGAUACAGCAAUGCCGCGUGAGUGAUGAAGGCCUUAGGGUUGUAAAGCUCGUUUACCCGGGAUGAUAAUGACAGUACCGGGAGAAUAAGCACCGGCUAACUCCGUG